AUGGAGGUCCCGCCCCGGCUUUCCCAUGUGCCGCCGCCAUUGUUCCCCUCCGCUCCCGCUACUUUAGCCUCCCGUACCCUCUCCCAUUGGCGGCCACGAGCGCCACGGCAGCUCGCCCCACUACUCCCUUCGCUUGCUCCCAGCUCCGCCCGACAGGGGGCGCGCCGAGCCCAGCGCCACGUCACCGCCCAGCAGCCCUCCCGAUUGGCGGGCGGGGCAGCUAUAAAGGGAGGGCGCAGGCGGCGCCCGGACCUCUUCCGCCGCCAUUUUAAACCCAGCUCCAUACAACGCUCUGCCGCCACUGCUGCCGCGACUCGAACCACGCGCCAGCACCUCCCGGCCGACAACUCCACCACCAUGGAGGACGUGAACGAGUACAGCAACAUAGAGGAAUUUGCAGAGGGAUCCAAGAUCAACGCGAGCAAGAAUCAGCAGGAUGACGGUAAAAUGUUUAUUGGAGGCUUGAGCUGGGAUACAAGCAAGAAAGAUCUGACUGAAUAUUUGUCUCGAUUUGGAGAAGUUGUGGACUGCACAAUUAAAACAGAUCCAGUCACCGGAAGAUCAAGAGGAUUUGGAUUUGUGCUUUUCAAAGAUGCUGCUAGUGUUGAUAAGGUUUUGGAACUGAAGGAACACAAACUGGAUGGCAAAUUGAUAGACCCUAAAAGGGCCAAAGCUUUAAAAGGGAAGGAACCCCCCAAAAAGGUUUUUGUGGGUGGAUUGAGCCCAGAUACUUCAGAAGAACAAAUUAAAGAAUAUUUUGGAGCCUUUGGUGAGAUUGAAAAUAUUGAACUUCCCAUGGAUACAAAAACAAAUGAAAGAAGAGGUUUUUGUUUUAUCACAUACACAGAUGAGGAGCCUGUAAAGAAAUUGUUAGAAAGCAGAUAUCAUCAAAUUGGUUCUGGGAAGUGUGAAAUCAAAGUUGCCCAACCCAAAGAGGUAUAUAGACAGCAACAGCAACAACAAAAAGGAGGAAGAGGUGCUGCAGCUGGUGGAAGAGGUGGUGCUAGGGGUCGUGGCCGAGGUCAGGGCCAAAACUGGAACCAAGGAUUUAAUAACUAUUAUGAUCAAGGAUAUGGAAAUUACAAUAGUGCCUAUGGUGGUGAUCAAAACUAUAGUGGCUAUGGCGGCUAUGAUUAUACUGGGUAUAACUAUGGGAACUAUGGAUAUGGACAGGGAUAUGCAGACUACAGUGGCCAACAGAGCACUUAUGGCAAGGCAUCUCGAGGGGGUGGCAAUCACCAAAACAAUUAUCAGCCAUACUAAAGGAGGGCAUUGGAGAAAACAGCGGGAACUUCAUUGCAGGCCGUGUGUCACCCUGACCACGUCUAUCUCUGGGGGUCGCACGUUGCGGGCAGAGCGCAAGGCAUACACCAGAAAACGCUGUCCUGUGGAGGAGAUUGCUAAAGUAAUCCAUCUUGCAGGACAACAGUGAAGAUUGAUCUUCUGUUGCUCUAAGAUGAUUAUUUUGUAAAAGACUUUCUAGUGUACAAGACACAACUCUGUCCAACUGUAUAUAGCCGCCAAUUAGUUUUCUUUGUUUUUACUUUGUCUUUUGCUAUCUGUGUUAUGAUUCAAUGUGGAUUUGUGUUUAUACAAAUUUUACUUGUAUAAUUUCAUGUUAAACCUCAAAUAAAUGCUUCCUUAUGUGAUUGUU